UCCCUGGUGGUCCAGUGGCUAAGACUCCAUGCUCAAAAUGCAGGUGGUCAAGGUUCAAUUCCUGGUCAGGGAA
rfam:TPA: Bos taurus chromosome 21, whole genome shotgun sequence.